rnacentral:rRNA from 1 species
AAUUCGACGCAACGCGAAGAACCUUACCAGGCCUUGACAUACUCGGCAAAGCUCUAGAGAUAGAGUGGAGGUUAUCCGGGAUACAGGUGGUGCAUGGUUGUCGUCAGCUCGUGUCGUGAGAUGUUGGUUAAGUCCCGCAACGAGCGCAACCCUUGUCUUUAGUUACCAUCAUUAAGUUGGGGACUCUAGAGAGACUGCCGGUGAUAAACCGGAGGAAGGUGGGGAUGACGUCAAAUCAUCAUGCCCCUUAUGGCCUGGGCUACAAACGUAAUACAAUGGCGUAUACAAAGGGAUGCGAAAGGGCGACCUGGAGCAAAACUCGCAAAGUACGUCUCAGUUCAGAUUGGAGUCUGCAACUCGACUCCAUGAAGGCGGAAUCGCUAGUAAUCGCGGAUCAGCAUGCCGCGGUGAAUACGUUCUCGGGGUUU